GCCAGCAGCUAUAUCACUCUGCAACUCACAACUGGCAACCCACUGAAGCUAAGCAGGUGUGAGCCUGGUCAGUACCUGGAUGGACCUCCUGGGGAAAAACUAAGGUUGCUGCUGGAA
rnacentral:rRNA from 1 species